CAGCAGUAGGGAAUCUUCCACAAUGGACGAAAGUCUGAUGGAGCAAUGCCGCGUGAGUGAAGAAGGGUUUCGGCUCGUAAAACUCUGUUGUUAAAGAAGAACACCUUUGAGAGUAACUGUUCAAGGGUUGACGGUAUUUAACCAGAAAGCCACGGCUAACUACGUGCCAGCAGCCGCGGUAAUACGUAGGUGGCAAGCGUUGUCCGGAUUUAUUGGGCGUAAAGCGAGCGCAGGCGGUUUUUUAAGUCUGAUGUGAAAGCCUUCGGCUUAACCGGAGAAGUGCAUCGGAAACUGGGAGACUUGAGUGCAGAAGAGGACAGUGGAACUCCAUGUGUAGCGGUGGAAUGCGUAGAUAUAUGGAAGAACACCAGUGGCGAAGGCGGCUGUCUAGUCUGUAACUGACGCUGAGGCUCGAAAGCAUGGGUAGCGAACAGGAUUAGA
rnacentral:rRNA from 1 species